rnacentral:lncRNA from 1 species
UUUCUAUUGAUCACUCAACAUCUUCGUCAUGCACCUUUGCCCAUCACUUCCCUACCCCUCCCGUGCUUAGCAACUUUGAUGUAUGCUCUGCCGUCACAUUCUUCACCUUGACAUUGCCAUCAUUGUUUGCUAGUUCACCUUCUUGAGCACUAUCGGAUUACAAAUAGAAUUUAUUGCCUUGGGCAUAAGAAAGCUUUGGUGAGGUCAAAGGAGAGAGGAGUUGGGUUUGGGCUCCAAUGAAGGGUGGUGAUGGUCACGAUGGUGCUCGAAAUUAAAGGUGGUAACCAUUAGGUCAGAAUAGGUUUGGGAUGGAUUUACCAUAUAUACCA